GAUGAACGCUGGCGGCGUGCCUAAUACAUGCAAGUCGAGCGAACGGACGAGAAGCUUGCUUCUCUGAUGUUAGCGGCGGACGGGUGAGUAACACGUGGAUAACCUACCUAUAAGACUGGGAUAACUUCGGGAAACCGGCGCUAAUACCGGAUAAUAUUUUGAACCGCAUGGUUCAAAAGUAAAAGACGGUCUUGCUGUCACUUAUAGAUGGAUCCGCGCUGCAUUAGCUAGUUGGUAGGGUAACGGCUUACCAAGGCAACGAUGCAUAGCCGACCUGAGAGGGUGGUCGGCCACACUGGAACGGGGACACGGUCCAGACUCCUACGGGAGGCAGCAGUAGGGAAUCUUCCGCAAUGGGCGAAAGCCUGACGGAGCAACGCCGCGUGAGUGAUGAAGGUCUUCGGAUCGUAAAACUCUGUUAUUAGGGAAGAACAUAUGUGGAAGUAACUGUGCACAUCUUGACGGUACCUAAUCAGAAAGCCACGGCUAACUACGUG
rnacentral:rRNA from 1 species